GUUUAAUCCGAACCCCUCCUUUCGGGUGACCUAAAUAGUUUGGUUCACGUCGAAGAAACAUUGCUCGACAUUGGACAUUGGAAGACUUUUGGUGUGGAUGAUGUUCAGGUCUGAAGAAGUGAGGUUGAAAGAUCGAAAAAGGAGGCGAAAACAAAACACAGGAUGAUGUAUAUGACUCUCCCCCAAGAAGUUACAGCAUGUCACAUCAGUCUCCAGCUCUGCAGGAUCAGGAAGCAGCAAGGUGGUGUGAACGCCAAACAUUUAAAGGCACCAUUUCCCUCCCUAGUGUAAUUGGGAUGGAGGGGGAAGACCGUAUUACAACCCUUAAAGAACUACGGUUGUAUAAUGGCCUGGAUGAGGAGGAAAAUAUUCUUCUCAAGAAACCAUUCAUGUUCUCAUUCCAGUUACAGAGAGAUUAUUAGAUGUUCUAUGUGGAGGCAGUUGACAACAAAUAAAAUGACUGUCUUUGCCUCUUUUGAGGAGCAGGAGUGAAGCAAUUUUUGAGGAGAGGUCAAACCUUGUUUUUGUCUGCUGUGUUAUUUGUUUAAUUUGUUAAUUGUAUUAUGUUGUUUAGUAAAGAUGACUUAGAAGUCA